CUGAGACUUUAACAGAACAUUCCCACAUGGUACUAUUUUGGUUAUAUCAUAACGUUCCUGAUAUGACUGUAGGAAGACGUUCCAUAUUGGUUAUCCUGUGGUCACAUAAGAACGUUACAGAAAGGACUUUUGGAACAUUUACAGAACCAUCCUACAUGGUCCUCUGUUGGUCAUAUAAUAUUGUUCCUGAUAUGACUUUAGGGGGACGUCCCAUAUUGGUUAUCCUGUGGUCACAUGGCAACGUUACAAAGAGGACAUUUGGAACAUUAAUAGAAUGUUCUCACAUGGUCCUCUGUUGGUCAUUUAAUAAUGUUCCUGAUAUCACUAGGAGGACAAAAUAUGAAAUUACAGUUAGAGCAUUUUAUUUUUAUAGGCAGUUAAUAAAAAGGAUGUGUCAAUGUGCAGUGGACCAUACAAACAAAGUAAUAAAUAAAUGAUUUCAGAAUGAAGAAAAAUAAAUGAGUGAUUCAGUCUGCACUAUCGUACAUCAGACAAAGACAAAAAGUAAUUAAAUAAGACUUUACAUUACAUUGUGUUAACAAGCACAAAAAAAUACUAGUAAAUAAUACUAUACUAAUAUGUAUUAUGUUGUACUCUCUGAAUAUAAUGAUGUAGAUUGCAAUGCAUCUUGGAAACAGUAGUCAGUUAACAGCAAAGCGUUCAAUCCGCUUUAUGAAAAGAACUACCUUUCCCAUAAUGCAACAGCUUACAAGAGGACCCGGAAGUCACAUGAAAUUCAAACUGCCACACUUGACGACGCGUGAUCUUUGUUUUGUCUUUAUAUAAUACUGUAAGAAGUCAUGUACCACACAUUGUCAAACCUGAAGAAGUGUAUCUUCCUGCAAUCUGGGUACUGGGGCUUGGAUUGUUUGAAGUAGUAAAGAAUAAUGGCAAAUAAUGAAGCAGGCAAUAAAAAAUACUUGACCAAGAAGUUUUGGAGCUUAACAUUUUUGUAGUUUGUAAUUGCUUUUUUCUUUAAGUUGGUAAUUUGAAAAUCUUUCUGGAAGUCUGAAAUCUUCCUACAUAUUUUUUUCACAUCUCGAUUUGAAUGUUAAAAAUCUUAGUUCUUGGAUUUGUGAUGUUUUGUAAUAUGUGUUUUUGCCCUUACUUAUGCAUUUUAUGUAAAUAUAUUUUUAACUGGAUUUGUAUUUGUAUGCUCUUAUUCUGCAGGCUCCAGA